AACCAGCACCUCAAGUGGUCAGGAUGAUUAUUGGGCCUAAAGCAUCCGUAGCCGGCUCUGUAAGUUUUCGGUUAAAUCUGUACGCUCAACGUACGGGCUGCCGGGAAUACUGCAGAACUAGGGAGUGGGAGAGGUAGACGGUACUCGGUAGGAAGUGGUAAAAUGCUUUGAUCUAUCGAUGACCACCUGUGGCGAAGGCGGUCUACCAGAACACGUCCGACGGUGAGGGAUGAAAGCUGGGGGAGCAAACCGG
rnacentral:rRNA from 1 species